UGAAAAUCGCGUAUUAGAUUUGUUUGACAACUUAUUUUCAGUUGUAAAGUACAAAAGCCAGUUCUGAUUUUUUUUUUUUUUUUUUUUUUAGUAAUCGUUAUUUUAUGGGUUUGCUCGACUGUUGCUGGCCGAGAAUCGGUGAGCGGAUCCAGAUGGCGGCCGUACAUUAUCUUUGUUGAUCAAUAUGCCCUUUGUUGUGUAAUAUACGUUCUUGAAGGCCGGCUUUUAUUUUCUUGAUUUCCUCUCCCAGACACCCACCAAAUUACUUUGAAUUUGGAAAGUAGCUUUGCGCAUGCAAUAUCUGACAUGAAAUUAUUACGUAACCAUCGAGAAAGAAAUAAAACGUGACUUAAAAUGUGAUAUUUGGACAAAGUGGGAGUAUUGCAAGAAAAAAAAAACAAUUUGCGUUCUCCUUUACUACUCAUUAUUAAAACGUAUUAGGGAACAGUAAAUUAAGCACAAGUUUUCUCUUAAUCUUGUCAUUCCAAGAGAAUGCAGUGUGUGCUGUAAUUUAUCAUGAUCUACCCUCAGGUGUUUUUGGUCAUAAAUAGACAGGUGUUAUGU